rnacentral:lncRNA from 1 species
AUAAGCAGGAGUAACAGGUAACCUGAAGUGUCACCUCCAAGAACGGGACCCAGCCCCACAAUGAGGAAGCAAUUUAACUCUGCCUUAGCCUUGAAAAUGUGACAAAACUGAGUUGGACAGCAGUCUUGAGACACAUGGGACAAAAGGCGAGAUUCGUUCUGUCCGGGGAAAAACAAGAUUUUCAGGACAAAUGAGAGAGUGACAGAUUCAUAAAGAGAGUGACAAAUUCAUCGAUGAAGACUGCGGAGAGGAGAGGUGAGGAAGCCACAGGCAGUCAGCAGAAAGCAGUGAGCUGCUCCCUCCACAGGCCCGGCAGCGGCAGCCCCGCGAUCUCCAGGGUGGACGUCGGUACUUCAUGGCAACCUGCACUGCCAGGUGCUCCUGCCCAACUGUCGGCUAACAUUUACCCAUUCCAAGCGCACUUAAGGUAGGUGAGGCUAUGUUACCAUGUUCAGUAGACUGAAGGGUAUUAAACGCAUUUCCGACUUAAAAGUAUCUUCAACUUAGGAUGGGUUUCUGGGAAGGCAGCCCUGUCGUAAAUUAGAGAGUAUCUGUCUGUAUCAAACGUGUGACCUUACGUGCACACUUCAUUCUCUCAUGCAAUGAAAUAGGCAGAAACAAGCAAACUAUUAUUACCAACAUACAAAUAGUGAGAUUUCAAUGACCAGAUACUCAAACGAGCCUGCAAAAAUCCUCACACCACGGCCUACAGGAUGAAGUCCAUAAAUGACUACACUGAUUAAAUAAGUCUUUGCAUUUCUUCAUUUAUAUUGGUCCUAUUUUGAGAAAUGUCUAGAAAGGUAGCAAAAUCACCUAGUAUAUAGGUUCGGGUAAAUAAUGAAGAGUACUCAGUACUAUCUUCUUAAGAAAAGAAAAAAAAUUCUGAAUUUACUAAUUUUUUUCCUCUUAAGAAAAGAAAUCUAGGGUGUUGGCUACGUUUGCUCAUGUUGAGAAUGCAAAAGGCCACUGUUUCUUAAGCGGCUCUUGCACAACAAAGAAAAACUACCUGCUCCCUGGCCCAGCUGCCUGCUUUGCUGGAGAAGGCAGGCGGGGUGGAGACUCCUCCAGGAGGUGUUUAAUAAUCUGCAAAGGUCCAGACAGCAACCCGGGGCAGACACAGCUCAAGCCAGCCAACCUGACCAUUGGAAAGAAAGGAGGAGAAUGCACACUUUCCUGGGUUCAGCUCUCUGGGGUCCCCAACACCUCCUCUUUGUGGCCAUCUUGUCCCCUGGCACCAAAGCUGAGCUCAGAGGAAAGCACCUGCCAUGAUCCACUCUGUCUCUGCCGCCUCCCUGCCCACUCCUGUGGGAAGCUCCCUCUCGGCAUCUGUCCGUCAUCAGCAUCUGUCCGUCAUCGGCAUCUGUCUGUCACGGGUCAUCUGCCGCACCACACUGAGAACCCAUGAGUGCCAAAUGUCCCCCGUCAGCUGGCCCACCCGCAUUUCAUCUUCCUGGCUUAAGAAGGUUAAAAUCACCAGAAUAAUCAGGAACUAAACAGUGAAUCUUCUCUUUCUGACCUGCCCAACUCUUAGCCUUAUUUGUGACCCCCAGAAGUCUUAACUACUUAUAUUCAAGUCUGUGUUUUCCUGAAUUAACAGUCACUCAGCAUUGAAUGGCAAACUAUUUCUCACAAAAAUUGUAUCGGUGGAAAAAAAGUGAAACUUGUUCACUACACCCUUAAGUAUCAACUGAGAAAGAAUCUGCUAAAGCCACAAACGACCAUUCUGUACAACUUUCAAUGCAUCAUUUACUGUACUAAAUUUCAAAGAACAUUCUCGAAUGCUAAAAUAAAUCAAUGCCCAAACACAGUGUCUUGUCAGCUCAUGCAAUAUAGGUUAAAUAGUACCAUAUGGCAAAGACAGACACAUGUUGCCCUUUUCUGAAACAAAAAAAUUCCUAAACAAAUGUCCUUUACUUUCACAUGGGAAGAGUGGGGGAUUAGAGAGUUCUUCAAGUGUUAAUAGCGCUGAAAAAUUUUUAAUUCUUAGCCAUUAACAAGAAAUUAUAGUUUUAAUAGAGAACCUUGAUUUUUUAAGCCU